rnacentral:lncRNA from 1 species
CUGAAGGGUGAGUAUCAGCAAAGUUUGAUUCCUCGGGUAAGCGCGAAACAACGCAGAAACAGAAACAGACUCACAGAGGAGUCGAAGACUGGUAAGAAAUCUUAUAUAUUUGCGAAAUCUGGGGCAGAAAAAGAGUAAGCUUCAAAAAAAAACACCACAGAGAAAAGCCCCUCCGAUCAGGGGGAGGGAUCACUAGACAUCCCACUGGAAAGCCCCUUGGGUUAGAUGUUAAAACACUGGGAAGAUUGUCCCCAGAGAAAGGGAAAAUCCAAGGCAAAAUUGAUACAUUACUGUAUGGAGGUUUGGGGAGGACAAGAAUUGAGAAGUCACCUCACUUGGCCAGUGUUAGGCACAUUCGAAAAAUGGACGUGUAAUAAAUUAUUCUCCUAUGUGGAGAACAAAGUCCCCUUGGAUCCCGAGGAGAAGGAAUAUGCUAAACUCUGGUUAAACGCCAGAGUAGGGCUAUUCCAAAUAAAACAAAAAGAAAAACGUGAGUCGAGAGCUGAAUCCUGGGAACCCCUUGACCACUUACCACCCCCGUAUCAUGGACCGGCUGGGCCUUCUGCAUUAGACCAAGUGGUGCCUUCAGCACCUUUGGGCUCCCAAGACCAACCCGCUGAGAUGCAUACAUCCCGAGCGGGAGACUCGGCGCCGGCAGCUAUGACAGCAGCCCAUCCCCUGUCCCCGCCUGCGAACACCAUAGCCACAGUAGAUUCUUUGGAGGUUUCUCCUGCGCAAGGCUGGGGAUCACUCUAUCCGUCCUUGCCAAUCCUGCCGCCACAACCGGGACCCUGCCCUAUAAUGGAGAGGAUCCCUCCCGUCAACCGGGUGGCGGCGGAGUUCCCACAAUUGAUAACGGGGAAACAACUCACAAUCACCAGCUCCCCUCCCGCAAGUAGAACCUGUUUGAGAGCGAGAAUGAUGGGUGAUGAGUGGGGAGAGAGUGAAGAAGGGCACCGGUUGUUCCCUCUUAGGGAAGUACCGACGGCCCCGGGAGUGAUCAGAUUUGUGAAUAUACCCCUUAACACCGGAGACGUAAGGGCAUUUAAGAAAGUG